UGCCCCUGUGAUAGGCUCUUUCAUUUUGAGACCUUAAUAAACACCACAGCUCGCCGGAACAACUCUCUCUCUCUCUCUCUAUUUAUACAUACACACAGUUAUGGAUACAGUUUUACACAUACACGUAUAUGGAUUGCAUUUCUCAUUAUCGGCAGAUAUCAGAGGGUUGCUAGGCGACAGAGGUGAAUGCAAGAUGAGAGCAAUUGUGGAUUUUGUGUUAGGGUUUUGGUUGCUGUAAGGACCUUGUAGAGCUCUGCUUGCCGAUCCACGGUGUGUUGGCAUGUCUGUCGUGUGUUUGUUAGGCGUCCAUGGCCUGUCCAAAAGGAAAAAUAUUUGGCCACAUUUUUUGGCGUGUCCGUGUUCGACGCAUGUAUGACAUGGACACCUCGACCUUUAAGGUUGUGAAUCCUGUUGGAAGUGGACCACAGGAUCAGCUGUUUGGUGGUGGUAACUGACUAGUCACCAGCCUUGGACGUGGCAGCAAUUCUAGCCUUUGCCAGUGGACCUUGUAGCCAUCUUGACUAUACCUCGACCUAGAGCUGACAAGUGCAGGGCCCAUCAGUGAGGACACAAGCUGGUAAUGCAAAAACUCAAAUCAGUACACUGUGUCUUCUCUCAAUAACUGCUGUUGCACUUACCCAGCACAUACCUCUCUCAAGUCUCAACUGCUGCAAAAAUUAAUGAGAUGGACAAAUAUGGUACCAGACAUUGGAUGGGUAUGGUUUUCAGGGGGAUUAAUUUCUUUAUACAAGAAAACAAAGAAAAUUGGAUGUUUUUGAAGUUUGCUCAGACAGUGGGAGUGGGAAAUUAUGAACAAAAAGUCCAAUGGGGUGUUGGUUGUUUUUUUUGAAGGGAAUGGUUGGGAGGAGGGGGGCCUCUGUUGGGUCUGAUGGUUUGCAGAGCAAGAGGGAGGCCUGAGGCCCCCACUUUGGAGAGCACUCUCUCAUGUUGUGAGAAAAGGGGUACAAGUUUAAUGGUUGUAAUUGGUACACGGUGUUUUUCUUCCAGUGUUCCCUAUCUUCCAUCUGCCGCUUCUCAACACGGCCAUCUUCUGCCAUCCCAUUAAUAGUUGUGGUCCCGCUCUUUUUCAUACAGUACUUUCCCACACCCCCACAUACCCAUGAAGAUAACCUUUUCUAUAACAAGUAUGGAUGUGUAAAAUCCACUAAAUUUGACACACUGGCCGCUUCAAAAUCCAUUCCAAAAUUGCACAUGUGGGUUAACCCCAGCUAAACAAAUGAUGCAUAUUAGAGAGAGAAGGAAGGAAUGGGGGUGGGUUUGGUUGGUGGUGGUAAAGUGAUUCCUCCUGCCUUUGGUGCAUGGAUCGCCGACCUGGCCAAUGAGUCAGAGUCUAGGUUGAAACAACACGUAUCAGGAUGACUAUAUGUUAAGAGGCUCUUGUUCCAUGCCGAAUCUGGAUAGGCAAGAGCAUGGGCUUAUAUGGAUGAGUAUGUGGCACUAUUCAACAUCUUAAAUUUUUUGGUCAGAGAAUAAUUGUUCGGUCCGUUACAAUGGUAUCGAAGUCAAACUUAGUUCUUGAUCUUGUGUUAUCCCAAGCGCGUCAUCGGGAAGUGUUUAAGUCUUUGUUGAGUAAGCAAGGUGGUCCAACCACAAUGAGGGAGAAUGUUAGAGGUUCUUGUUUCACAUCGGAUUCAAAGGGAAAGGUUAUGGUUUUAUAUGGGAACGUCAAGCGCCCCUUUGGGAGGUGUUAGGGUCUCCGCCGGGUAGGCAAGGUGUUCCAACCGUAAUGGGAGGGUCCGGAUGGGGAAGGUCGUGGACUUAUAUGAGUAUGUCAAGUGCCUCGGGAGGUGUUCGAGUCUCCGUCAGGUAGGCAAGGUGGUUCGACAGCAACGUUGCGAGUUUGGGUGAUUGAGAAUGUUAGAGGUUUUUAUCUCACAUCGGAUUAGGAUGGGAAGGUAAUGGGCUUAUAUGGAAGUUACUGUGAUUUUCAAAUUAAAGACCAAAUUUUUUUUUUUUUUUUUUUUUUUAAGUUGGAGGGAAGAGAAGAGAGAGAUGAAGCAUCCCUCAUUUCUUUAUGUUUUUUUAUUCACCCAAUUUUGGAGGAAGAGAGGAGAGAGAGAAUGGAUAAUUACCUCUACAAAUAUUUAAUUUUUAAUUUUAGCCUUUCCAAAAAGAAUUAAAAUAGAUAUAUACCUUUUAUAAUUUUAUAUAAUGAGGGUGUAUUGGUAAAAAAAUAUAUUAAAGCUCUAUUUUCCUUCUAACAAAAAAAAAAAGUGUCACCAUAUUCUUUUUUAAUAUCUAUUCUAUUCAACCAAACAAAAAAUGGAAAGAUAUCUAAAAAAAUGAGAAGAUACAUUUUUCUUCCCUAUGGAUGUCUAGUCAAUCCCUCCCUCUCUCUCUCUCUCUCUCUCUCUUCCAUUCAUUUUCUCAUUCUGGAAGCCUUAUGAGCCAAAUGAAGCAUAAGAGCUGAAAUUGAAUAUAUCUUAAACAAUAUUUUAGGUUAUGAGUUUUCAAUUUAUUUAUUUAUUUAUUUUUAUUAUUAUUUGUUUCCUCGCCUACUGUAAAGUAUUGUUUUAGUUUGCUUCUCAAUUGAUACUGCAUUGUUGUAUAAUGCAUUAAUGUGUUUUAUGUGAUAUUUUUUUCUUUUU